UUGGCCUAAAACAAAUAAGAAGAAGAAUGACUAGGCUAGAGUAAAAUAUAAAAAACCACAUACAGCUUCCAACCCUGGACACUGAAGUUUGCCCCCCCAUCACCUCCGCAGGGGUCUUACCCAAACAAUAAAAUGGAAGGCCUGAAUACCACCGGGGGGCACCAUUGAGCUGCAACCUCUGGAAGCAUUCCCAGUAGCAGUGAGGUGGGGGUCAGAUGGACUCCACGUUAUAAGGCUUUUUGUAACACAUUUCACAUUUUUCAGAGGAAUGAACUUGACUGCUUUCUUAGAUUCCCUUUCUUACAAGAAGUCUUCUGAGUAUGGAAUUUGUAUUCUUGGACUAUUUUCUCAGGAACCCUCAAUUUUCUUACUGGUACAAUCCAACUCCAUCCUUCCUCCCACUUUUGGGUAGCUGUUGCUGGGCUCACAUUACAAAUAACAUGUUAUCUUGUCUUGCAAAUGCCCCAUCCAUAAUCAUAUCUACUUUCUGUACCAUGGAGAACAUGCAGCCCGAGGUUAGUCAUCUGCCCUUCCAGGCUUUCCUGUUCACCACUCAGCCAAGAAGGAACUUCUCAUUUGGACAAUUCCAAACAAAAAAGGCCUGUUUUAACAUAAGCGUAUUAAAAUGAGAGGUCUACCUUUUACAACUGAGCAACAGGCUAACCAUGGCUUAUUUACUUAAGUGGAAAGAAAUCCAAUGUCACAUACUGCCCUUCUCUGUAUGCUGAUGAACCUGGAAUGGUCCUCUUUUCCCUAAGUGUGAACCAAAUGAAAACAAAUUAGGCCAAGGAAACCACAUGCUGUCCUUCCUGGCUCCCACGCUGUUCAUCUUCCCUCCUUACUCGGAGCAAUACAGGAAAACUCCCUGGGUCCAUCUCCUGAAUCUCUCACAUGCUCGAACUGCUCGCUUCCCCUCUUAUCUAUAAAGUAUGGACAUACAUGUAAAUAUAGUCACAUCUAUGUACACCCACACAUAUGUACAUAAAUUAUGCAUUUCUAAAUUUGUCCCUUUGGCUACUAACUUUGAAAAAAUCUGAACAGUUUUGCAACUUCAAAUUAGACAAAACCACAAUCUUUAUAAGCCAAAUAGAAUUAUCCUUACAAAGCAGGUACAGCAAAGCUCAGAUGUCAAGCUUCAACUCAACAGGCAGGUAGUGAGUCAAGUACAGAGAUGCAAAUAUGAACAGUUCACAAUUUCUACUGUAAAGGCGUCUGUAAUCUCAUACGGGAGAAUUAUACGAAAGCAAGUAGGUAGAAGAUAAAGCAGGAUGUAUAUGUAAGAUGUAAAGAUAAAUACUAAGAUUCUGGGGGAGACUGAUAAAAUUUCAAACACUUUUAUGCUGAGUUAUUGAAUCUUUAAGAAAGGAAAAUGCAAUGCCAUUCUUCACAAAAUUGUAGGAUGGGCCUGCUAGACUAACCCCCUAAACCUGUCAAUAAUUAUUUUAAAAUAAUAUAAUACAUACAUCCCCCCCAACUCCCACACACCUUGAAUAUGAAGGCACCACACUAAUGUUAAGUGUUUGAGAUCAUCACACUAGAUUAUAAGGUUUCUCUCCUAUUAGAAUGGUAAACAUAAUGAAAUUUCACCAAGAAUGAAACUCAAGGUUCUGAAGUCAAAAAACUCACUGAGAGGGCAGUGAGAAGAUAAACACUGGCCAAAAUAGAAAAUUGGAAGCAUGCUAGAAAAAGGGUUGAAGCCAGACCUACACACAAAAACAGGAGAGACCAAGAAGGAUCAUAAUUUUCCAGGCAGACACGUUGGGCAUUUGUGUCAUUAUGUGUUGGCGAUGGGAGGUGUGUGGGUGUUAAGAAUUAAGACAUCUGCUUCAAUUCCACAACUAAUUUUAUACAUGUAA